rnacentral:rRNA from 1 species
UACGAAAGGACCAAGCGUUACUCGGAAUCACUGGGCGUAAAGCGCGCGUAGGCGGCCUUGUAUGUCGAUUGUGAAAGCCCCGGGCUCAACCUGGGAACUGCAGUCGAAACUGCAAGGCUUGAAUGUUGGAGAGGUUGGGGGAAUACCUAGUGGAGAAGUGAAAUUCGUAGAGAUUAGGUGGAACACCAGAGGCGAAGGCGCCUGACUGGCCAAACAUUGACGCUGAGGCGCGAAAGCGUGGGUAGCAAACAGG